rnacentral:rRNA from 1 species
AACGGCGAGUGAAGCGGCAACAGCUCAAAUUUGAAAUCUGGCCUCGGCCCGAGUUGUAAUUUGCAGAGGAUGCUUCUGGCGCGGUGCCUUCCGAGUUCCCUGGAACGGGACGCCACAGAGGGUGAGAGCCCCGUAUGGUCGGACACCAAGCCUGUGUGAAGCUCCUUCGACGAGUCGAGUAGUUUGGGAAUGCUGCUCUAAAUGGGAGGUAAAUCUCUUCUAAAGCUAAAUACCGGCCAGAGACCGAUAGCGCACAAGUAGAGUGAUCGAAAGAUGAAAAGCACCUUGAAAAGGGGGUUAAAUAGUACGUGAAAUUGUUGAAAGGGAAGCGUUUAUGACCAGACUUGCGCCGGGCGGCUCAUCAGGGGUUCUCCCCUGUGCAUUCCGCCCGGCUCAGGCCAGCAUCGGUUCUCGUGGGGGGAUAAGACCGUCGGGAACGUAGCACCCUCCGGGGUGUGUUAUAGCCCGGCGGACGAUACCCUCGUGGGGACCGAGGUUCGCGCUCCGCAAGGAUGCUGGCGUAAUGGUCAUCAGCGACCCGUCUUGAAACACGGACCAAGGAGUCGUCCAUUAGAGCGAGCGUUUGGGUGUAAAACCCGCACGCGUAAUGAAAGUGAACGCAGGUGAGAGCUUCGGCGCAUCAUCGACCGAUCCUGAUGUUCUCGGAAGGAUUUGAGUAAGAGUUUUAACGGACGGACCCGAAAGACAGUGAACUAUGCUUGUAUAGGGUGAAGCCAGAGGAAACUCUGGUGGAGGCUCGCAGCGGUUCUGACGUGCA